CAAGUACCAUGAGGGAAAGGUGAAAAGGACUUUGAAAAGAGAGUUAAAAGUGCCUGAAAUUGCUGAAAGGGAAGCGAAUGGAACCAGCGUUCUUGAUGAGAUUGUUGCGCACUCUGGUGAUUGCUGGCUGCCCCACCGCAAGGGAGGUAGUUGGUUUUGAUCUAGCGGUGCGUGGUGUUUCUUGUCUUGUGUGUCAUCGUCGGUUCAUGGGGGAGGAAACCUCCAGGGGGAUGGUAACUUGGCCAUGGUUGAGUGAAUACCUCUGGUAGUACUCGUCUAUGUAUCGAUCCUGCGUGCUUGGUUGCAGUGUUUGGUUUGCUUGCUUGUAUCCGAAGGAGCUUGCUCUCAGGAUGCCUGUAAGUACGCUGGGCACUUCUCAGGCACAAAGACGAUGACUAAAUGGUUUUAUUCGACCCGUCU
rnacentral:rRNA from 1 species